rnacentral:snRNA from 1 species
GUACCUUUCUCAGCCUUUUGGCUAAGAUCAAGUGUAGUAUCUGUUUUUAUCAGUUUAAUAUCUAAUACGUGAGUGAUUAGCUCACAUGAUAUUAACUCAUUUUUUUUUAGGGGAAAGGUCCAUUAAGGCAACUUGCUGUCUGGGCCAUUGAGUGUUGCCUUGGUGUUGUACUAUUGCCUUGGCUUGGCACACCCCAC